UGGCGGCAGGCCUAACACAUGCAAGUCGAGCGGAAACGAGUUAUCUGAACCUUCGGGGAACGAUAACGGCGUCGAGCGGCGGACGGGUGAGUAAUGCCUAGGAAAUUGCCCUGAUGUGGGGGAUAACCAUUGGAAACGAUGGCUAAUACCGCAUAAUACCUUCGGGUCAAAGAGGGGGACCUUCGGGCCUCUCGCGUCAGGAUAUGCCUAGGUGGGAUUAGCUAGUUGGUGAGGUAAUGGCUCACCAAGGCGACGAUCCCUAGCUGGUCUGAGAGGAUGAUCAGCCACACUGGAACUGAGACACGGUCCAGACUCCUACGGGAGGCAGCAGUGGGGAAUAUUGCACAAUGGGCGCAAGCCUGAUGCAGCCAUGCCGCGUGUGUGAAGAAGGCCUUCGGGUUGUAAAGCACUUUCAGUCGUGAGGAAGGUAGUGUAGUUAAUAGCUGCAUUAUUUGACGUUAGCGACAGAUWGAAGCACCGGCUAACUCCGUGCCAGCAGCCGCGGUAAUAC
rnacentral:rRNA from 1 species